rnacentral:rRNA from 1 species
UACAGAGGUCUCAAGCGUUGUUCGGAUUCAUUGGGCGUAAAGGGUGCGUAGGUGGCGCGGUAAGUCGGGUGUGAAAUCUCGGAGCUUAACUCCGAAAUUGCAUUCGAUACUGCCGUGCUUGAGGACUGGAGAGGAGACUGGAAUUCAUGGUGUAGCAGUGAAAUGCGUAGAUAUUGGGAGGAACACCGGUGGCGAAGGCGGCUCUCUGGACCGGUACUGACGCUGAGACGCGAAAGCUAGGGGAGCAAACGGG